rnacentral:rRNA from 1 species
AUGGGCUGGAUUUCCCUGAACGCAAUGUUCGGAGUACUGCUGGCUCCGGGGCUGUACUACUGCGGCCUGCGUGCCACCGGCGCCGCCUACGCCGUCAACUUCCUCAACCUCAUCCCCGUCGCCACCUUCAUCAUCGCUGCCGCGCUCCGGGUCGAGCAGCUCUCCCUCGCCGCCUGGCCCAGUGGGAUGAAGCUCCUCGGAGCGGUGGUGGGCGUCGCCGGCACCAUGGUCGUCAGCCUCUGCAAGGGCACCCAUCUCCGGCUGCCGCACCUCGGGAUGUCCUUCCACGCCAACCCCCACCUCGCCACGCCCCACGGCGACGGCGACAUGGCCGUCGGCACGCUGUUCCUGUGCGGGAGCUGCGUCAGCUACGGGCUCUGGUUCGUCGUGCAGGCUAAGGUCGCCAAGGUGUUCCCGUACCGGUACUCGGCCACGGCGCUCACGUGCCUCGUGGGCUGCCUGCAGUCCACCCUGUUCGUCCCCGUGGCGAUCAUCCUCGCCCCCGCCGGCGACUUAUAUGGAUGGGCGCCCAUGUGGACGCUGCGCUGGGAUCUGCAGCUGGCCACGGUGGUCUACUCCGGGGUGUUCAACACGGGCGUCACGUUCGCACUAGUAGAAAACCACCCAUUAGUCCCGGUUCGUAAGGGCCUGGGUCGUUACUAA